UUUCCAUGACUUACUUUCUCAAAAUGUUUGGCAAGCACUCACUAAAUUGAGUCUAUUUUUUAGAGAUUUGACAGCAAGGUGUGUUACGAUGGAUGAUAUGCUUCGGCUAGAAACGGGCAUUCCUCUCAUAUUAUGUAAACUGGAGCGCAUAUUUUCACCAAGUUUUUUUGAUUCAAUGGAACAUCUACCAGUACAUUUACCAUACGAGGCACAAAUAGCAGGUCCUGUGCAGUACAGAUGGAUGUAUUCAUUUGAACGGUUUUUGAGGAAAUUAAAAAAUAAUGUUUGUAACAAAGCAAGAGUUGAAGGGUCAAUAUGCAAUGCUUGUCUAGUUGAAGAAACAUCUUCUUUCUGCUCCUAUUAUUUUGUUGAUAGUGUGCAAACAAGACAUCGCAGGUGUCCUAGAAAUUAUGAUGAUGCUUGUCAGCCAAUAGAUCCAUCGAUGCUUUCUAUUUUUAAGUUUCUUGGUAAGUUAAUGAGUGCAUCGCUUUCUAGAUGGUUAACCGAGGAAGAAUAUCAUGCUGCAAGAACAUAUAUACUCUUAAAUUAUAAAGAGGUCAAACCAUACAUAAAGUAAGUAAACUUCUUAAGUCAAAUAUUUAUCCUCCAUUUAAUUAUUUUGCUUGAUAUCCCAAUUUAUAAUUACUUUUUUUCUCAGCUUGUACGAACAAUAAUUAUAUCUACAAAACCCAUCAAUUGGUGCAAGUGAGGUAGCUACAAAGUUAGAGACUGAAUUUGCAUUGUGGUUUCAAAUAUAUGUAAGAAAAUUUGUGAAAUUUUUGAGUUCAUGUUUAUUAAGAAGUGUGCUAAGAUAUAUGUUACUUAUUUUUAUAGGUGAAAGACCAUAGAAUAUCAAAUAUGUAAGAUGAUAGGAUAAUGAAUAUUGCAUCAGGACCCCUUCGUAAAAUAAAGGUGUAUUCUGGUUACUAUGUUAAUGGCCUUAAAUUCUACGUGGCACAACGAGAUUCACGGAGAUUAACUUAUAAUUCUAGUAUUUGCGUCAAAAGAUCUAUGGACAACAAUAACACUGAGUUUGAUUACUAUGGGAGACUUGACGAAAUCAUAGAGAUUGAAUAUCCUGCAUUACCAAUAAAGAGGUGUGUGUUGUUCAAAUGUUCAUGGUAUGAUCUGACCCUAAGAAUUGGUACUAGAAUUCAUCCAAAUUAUAAUUUAGUUGAGGUUAAUGCAAAUAAAAGAUUCAACAAGUUUAAGCCUUCUAUUUUCGGAAUACAAGUGGGUCAAGUUUUCUAUCUUGAAUACCCUACGAAGAGAAGAAGAUCUAGUGAAUGGUUGUCUGUUUGUCGAAUCAAGUCUCGCUCGACCAUAGAGAUGCCGAAUACAAUCACUGCUCAACAUGAUGCAUUUCAGAAUGAUGAAGUGGAGAGACAUUCAGUUGAUUUACAACACCAAUCUACUUCUCAAUUACUUGUAGAUGCUAAUGACAUUUACGAAGAGAUAGAUGAUGGAGAGAUGUCCAAUAGUGAGGAUGAAGUUGAACUAAGCUCAUCUAGCAAUGAGGACAUAGAAACUGUUAAUUUUGAUUAGUCGGAUGUUAAUGAUGAUUAAAUAUUAACAUUAUUAUUUUCGACGGUAAGUAAUGUUUCCAUAUUGUUUUGUGUUUAAAUUAUCAGGUUUUUAGACCUUAUUAUGAUGUAUUGCAAUGUUAUUUUGCAGAUAUCAUUAUGGCAGAGCAGCAGCCUGUGGCACCGCGUGGCUACAAGGUCCUUACCAUUGUCGAGGACUCGUUUACUCCAGAUGGGCACAGAGUUGCCACAUAUAUCACUACAAAAUUCAAGGAACAAGUUAGUGCGUUUGGUACUACAUGGAGGCAUGUAGACCAGGAUAUGAAGCUAUUUUAUUAUAAUGAAUUUGUGAAAAGGUAUACAUGGGAGGACGGGAAAGAAGAACAAUUUAAAGCCACAUGGAAUGCUUAUUGUGUCAAACUCUACAGAGAUCAUAUGUAUUACAUGAGAAAGAAGGGCACUAGGCCUGUGUAUGUUUCGAAGGUGAUAUGGAGUGCAUGGAUGGCCACCUAGGCUGUAGAAAGGUGGCAAGCUAAUGCCGAAAAGGCAAAAGCAAAUAGGAAUACAGAGCAGGUGGCCCGAGCACCGGAACCGCUCAGCAUACGUCAGAAUCCAGAUCUAUUGUUGAGCAUACCAUGAAUCUGAAACGUGAGUUUACCCGACAACCUACAUGUAUGGAGAUUUUUCUCAAAACCCACAAGAAGAAGGAUCGGCCAUUUGUUGAUUCUCGAUCUCAAACUCUACAUCAACAAAUGACAGAAAGGGUGGCUCAGGCAUCUCAGCCAUUAGCAGAGGGUGGAGAGUCACAGUCUUUAUCCACCGACGAUCUAAAUGAGAUUUAUUAUGAUGUUGUCAGUGGAAGGACAAAAAAGUUCACCCUCUACGGCCUUGGCUCUCAGGCCAAAGUAGUAUUUGAUCGUUUGAGGAAUCCAGUAGGUCGUGCUAGUUCCUCUUCUUCUAGUGAGAUGCAGUCUUUAAGACGUGAAAAUCAAGAAAUGCGUUCUCAACUGAAAUCAAUGGAUCAGAGGAUGGCUGAUAUGAAUCAGUGAGAGCUGAUGAGGAGAAGAAGAGAGCUGAACGUGACAAGAGUAAUGAAGAUCUCAUGGCCCAAAUGCGGGCGAUCGUGGCUUCUUUCACCCAGGCAUCACAGGGUUCUGAGUCACAGGAGACUCAAGAUCCAUCAGACGGUGAUCGUUAGCUUUUUUGAGGAAUCAUGUUCAAUCCUAUUUACAUAUUGGCUCUUGACUACAUCAUUUGCUCAUUUUUGUUCAGGAUUUUCUUUAUGAUUUCACGUUCUUGUAUUAUUUGGAGUACAUUCUAGUUCAGUAAUAUUAUGUAAACUUGACUUUAGAUAUAGAUGUGUGGAAUAUAUAUUCUGUAGAUUUGGUUAGCUAUAGAUUGUAUGAAAUAUGUUUUUGUAUGUGGAUUUUAUUAGUGUAGAUUAUAUUGUCAUAUGAUAUAUAUAU